rnacentral:rRNA from 1 species
AUGACGCCACUGUCAACCCAUGCGAAGCUUCAAAAGAGGGAGUCGGAGGAGAUAAAGCAGGGGAUUGUUGAUGUGCCUGAUUGUUGCUCUCCUGUUGCCGUUGCCGAGCACAGGGGGUGGUCACCGGUGGCUCCAUUCUCGACCCAGCUGCUGCCCUGCAUGCAGCUAGCCUUGGAGACCACCCGCCACCACGACCGUCGUUGCCCACCCCCUACAUCGACGGUGCUCAAGCGGCUCUUCUCACUGGCUCCUACGACUCCCUCCUUCGCCAUGGAUACAACCAUCAUUGCAGGUGUGGAGAACCAAAAAGUUAUAAUAAUGGUGAAUCAGAAGUUCAAGCACAGUAAUCUGGGGGCGUGGGGGCAACUGCUAAUAGAGACCGAGUCAAAGUGUCGUGACUGCUGA